GGGGAAUCUUCCGCAAUGGACGAAAGUCUGACGGAGCAACGCCGCGUGAGUGAUGACGGCCUUCGGGUUGUAAAGCUCUGUUAAUCGGGACGAAUGGUUCUUGUGCGAAUAGUGCGAGGAUUUGACGGUACCGGAAUAGAAAGCCACGGCUAACUACGUGCCAGCAGCCGCGGUAAUACGUAGGUGGCAAGCGUUGUCCGGAAUUAUUGGGCGUAAAGCGCGCGCAGGCGGAUUGGUCAGUCUGUCUUAAAAGUUCGGGGCUUAACCCCGUAAUGGGAUGGAAACUGCCAAUCUAGAGUAUCGGAGAGGAAAGUGGAAUUCCUAGUGUAGCGGUGAAAUGCGUAGAUAUUAGGAAGAACACCAGUGGCGAAGGCGACUUUCUGGACGAAAACUGACGCUGAGGCGCGAAAGCCAGGGGAGCGAACGGGAUUAGAUACCCCGGUAGUCCUGGCCGUAAACGAUGGGUACUAGGUGUAGGAGGUAUCGACCCCUUCUGUGCCGGAGUUAACGCAAUAAGUACCCCGCCUGGGGAGUACGACCGCAAGGUUG
rnacentral:rRNA from 1 species